UCCAAAUCGCCCGGAUGGAGCUUUACCCCGCCAACAGCCGCGUGUUCCUCAGGCCUCCUUCCAACGAGUCCCGUGGAGCCGUGACUGAAAGCACGGUCACGUCUGGAGUGGAGCCAAAGCAGAGCCGGCCUUCCCGGCAGCCUGAGGCAGCUAAGUAGGGCCGGGCCUGACGCGCUCCACGCAGGACUUCCCGUGUCCCUCUUGUCCCGAUGGACGGUGAGACCCAGUCAGGUCUCCUCACAGACGAGUCAGCGGGAGAAGGCGGGCUGCCGCCGCGAAGACCGACAGCGCAGGCGGACGGGCUGAGGGCCGAGGCCUGGAAGGGAGCCGCGGCGGCGGCCCUUCCUGCUCGCGGCCCUGUCAGCCGCCCUCGCUGCCGCGCUGCCUCCGGGCCGAGGCGCCGCCUGGGUCAGUUUCCCGGCGUUUCUCCCCAAGGCGCUUUGCAGAGUUUCGGCGCCCUCCCGGAUCUUGGGGUUAUUUAGAGCAUCACCCUAUAAGUAUCUAAGUUGAAAAAAACAAUAGCAAAAAAAAAAAAAAGAAGAAGAAGCAAGUCCUUUUAAAUC